rnacentral:rRNA from 1 species
AUUGAACGCUGGCGGAAUGCUUUACACAUGCAAGUCGAGCGGCAGCGCGGGGCAACCUGGCGGCGAGCGGCGAACGGGUGAGUAAUGCAUCGGAACAUGUCCAUGUCGUGGGGGAUAGCCCGGCGAAAGCCGGAUUAAUACCGCAUACGCCCGAGAGGGGAAAGUGGGGGACCGCAAGGCCUCACGCGAUUGGGUUGGCCGAUGUCCGAUUAGCUAGUUGGCGGGGUAAGAGCCCACCAAGGCGAUGAUCGGUAGCUGGUCUGAGAGGAUGAUCAGCCACACUGGGACUGAGACACGGCCCAGACUCCUACGGGAGGCAGCAGUGGGGAAUUUUGGACAAUGGGGGCAACCCUGAUCCAGCCAUUCCGCGUGAGUGAAGAAGGCCUGG